ensembl:lncRNA
GGAAGAACAGUGAUUGGCCAGACUUUAAGGGUUAUGAAUCCCACGGACCAAUCACUGUAUGAGUGGAGGGGAGCAACCGCUGUGAUUGGCCAAGCCUGAGUCACAUGUCCAUCCCUGUGUCCUGGCAGUAGAAUAAGGCAAUGGCAGUCCCAGCAGUAUCGCAAGCUGAGAGUUGAGGAGGUGGACUUCCUCAGAGGAAAAGGAGUGGGUGGGAUUGUUAUCAGAAGAAGGGGAAAGGCCAUGCCACAGACCCAAAACAACAGAUGUCCACUACAAUUACGUUCCAAAAAUUCAUCCGAAAGUGGUUGUUUGGAACUCAAAUUAUAUUUCCCCAUGAAAACCAUAUUAUAAAACGUUCUCAUAUUUACAUGUUGUUUUAUAAGGCAUUUUCUUAUCCAUGAUGUCACUUGACCCCUCAAUAGCCCUGUGAGGUACAGAGAGGUCUCACAUGACCCUCACUCUCAAGCCAGCCCUGAAAUAUCCUUUACUGGGACAGGCCUCUGUGCCAGCUCUCAUGAACCCUCAGGUUCCAGGAAGAAUUUCCAUGCCGGGGCAGGGAGUCAUGCUAAGCUGUCUGCUCCUUCCAGGCCUGAGUAUUUCCUCAUCCUUCUAGCCCGACUUUGUCCUGGGCCCCUCAGAGGCCAGCUAAUGCAGAUGGAGCUCCAAGGCUGUGGGCAGCAUUGCGUGAAACUCUGCUUGGAACAGAAGGUAGAGGGAUGAGGGAAAAUGUUACCUGCUGUCACCAAACUUCCGCCCAGGAAAAUAGCCUGAGAUCCUAAGGUGGAAUGAGGAGGGGAUGGGGAGUGCUGAGCUGAGCAACACUGUGGGUGGCCGGAACAAUGCGGGUGCAGAGAGGGUGGGGGUGGGGGCCACAAAGACAUGAAUAUUCUGUCUUAAUUUAUACAGUGUAUGAUGCUGCAAUAAAACUCCCCUUAUAUAAAUCCCUGAAUUGCCGCUUAAAUUUUCUAGAGCAAGAGAGUAAGCUUCCCUGAGCAGGGGAGAGUAGGUGGGGAGGGGUCAAAGGGAAGGAACAGAGACAAAGCAAGAUUCAGAGAACUCAGAAGAAGCAGGAAAUUGGAGCCAGAGGUGACUCAAGGAUGCAUAAGCCCUGGAAUUACCAGAAAUCAUGAGGAGGGCAUCAGCCACUGAACCAGGGCUCUUUACAGAACAUAAGGGCUGGAGCAAGAAAUAUACGAGAUGAGCCUGGAGCAUCUUGUAGCACCGGAAAAUAGGAAAGUGCUCAACAAAUAUAAAAAGCCCCACAGGACAAGUGCCCAGAUCAGAUAUGAGUUCUUAUUGGCUAACCAUACUUCACACCAGAAUCUUGGAGGCACUGUUCUUCCUUGUUAAGGUUCUCACUAGAGGGCCAUUUUCUGCAAUCAAUCCGCUCGACAAACACUGGUGGAGCUCAGCUAUAACCCAAACCUGGGAAGCCGGUCAGGGAAUGGGGGACAGAGGGAGUCACUGAAUUCCUGGCCCAAGAAGCCAGGCCCCAGCCUGGACACGGCAGCUUGGCAACGUGACCCGCUUCUCGCCAGGGCCUGCACGGAAGGGAGGCUGAGACCCCAGCGCCAGCCCCGCCUCCUGCCCCGGAGACCGCACAGCCGCCUUUCCCGGACUCUGACUUUUGGAUCCUCCAAUGGGCCUCCCAUCAGUUUGGCCUCGGACCAGCCUGAGCGGAGGCUGCUGUCUCCUCAUGGCCCAACCCCACCACGCCUCCCUCCUCUCGCCACUCCCACCCUGAGACAAUGCGACAACGCUCUGCUGCACAACACAGAUGGGCCCGACCGCACUGGCAGUCCUGAGGCCGUCAUGGAAAGAAACCAAGAGGGAACAAGAGGCACAGUGCGUGCCCAGCCCCACCUCGGCCCUGGAACGUGAGCCGGAGGCCUGCGCAUGCGAUCACAGAGGAGAACGCGCCGGAACACAACGCAGCCCUGCCCUUCUGCAAACGACCAGAGCCCGCGGCCACACACGGCAGACCCUUCCCCGCUCCCUUGCAGACAGCAGUGUUGGCCAGGCUCCCCAAGCUUGAGCUCUAUCAAAAAGAUCCAGGAGGGAAC